GCCUCGGUGGUGUAGUGGUCAAGGCGCUUGCCUGGUAAAGGCGCAGGAGGGCGUGGGUUCAAUCCCAGCCGAGGUA
rnacentral:tRNA from 1 species